AGAGUUUGAUCAUGGCUCAGGACGAACGCUGGCGGCGUGCCUAACAACAUGCAAGUCGAGCGGAGGCAUACGAGGAGCAAUCUGAGUAUGCCUGAGCGGCGGACGGGUGAGUAACGCGUGAGCAACCUGCCUUCCACAGGGGGAUAACGUACCGAAAGGUACACUAAUACCGCAUGAGACCACGGUACCGAUGGUAGUGGGGUCAAAGGAGCAAUCCGGUGGGAGAUGGGCUCGCGUCCGAUUAGGUAGUUGGCGGGGUAAUGGCCCACCAAGCCUGUGAUCGGUAGCCGGCCUGAGAGGGUGAGCGGCCACAUUGGAACUGAGAGACGGUCCAAACUCCUACGGGAGGCAGCAGUGGGGAAUAUUGGGCAAUGAGGGGAACCCUGACCCAGCAACGCCGCGUGAGGGAAGAAGGUUUUCGGAUUGUAAACCUCUGUUCUUGGAGAAGAGUGGAAGACGGUAUCCAAGGAGGAAGCCCCGGCUAACUACGUGCCAGCAGCCGCGGUAAUACGUAGGGGGCGAGCGUUGUCCGGAAUGAUUGGGCGUAAAGGGCGCGCAGGCGGCCAUUCAAGUCAGUAGUGGAAGUCCAUUUUUCAAGGGUGGAAGUGCUAUUGAAACUGUAUGGCUUGAGUGCGGGAGAGGUUAUCGGAAUUCCCGGUGUAGCGGUGAAAUGCGUAGAGAUCGGGAGGAACACCAGUGGCGAAGGCGGGUAACUGGACCGCAACUGACGCUGAGGCGCGAAAGUGUGGGGAGCAAACAGGAUUAGAUACCCUGGUAGUCCACACGGUAAACGAUGAAUGCUAGGUGUAGGGGGUAUCGACCCCUUCUGUGCCGCAGUAAACACAGUAAGCAUUCCGCCUGGGGAGUACGGUCGCAAGAUUAAAACUCAAAGGAAUUGACGG
rnacentral:rRNA from 1 species